rnacentral:misc_RNA from 1 species
CAACGAAAAAACGCGCCCGAAAGGGACGUUAUUUCACACCAUUGUGUACCAAACUUUUGUUGCCUCGGUGGGUUGGGUUGGCCUACCCGGCCAGCCCCCCUAGGGAGCCGCCCACCGCAGGACCUUUCAAACCAGUUCGUCGAUGAACGUCUGAUUUAUUCUUUUAAAGAAAUA